rnacentral:rRNA from 1 species
UGGGGAAUUUUGGACAAUGGGCGAAAGCCUGAUCCAGCAAUGCCGCGUGUGUGAAGAAGGCCUUCGGGUUGUAAAGCACUUUUGUCCGGAAAGAAAUCCUCUGGGUUAAUACCUCGGGGGGAUGACGGUACCGGAAGAAUAAGCACCGGCUAACUACGUGCCAGCAGCCGCGGUAAUACGUAGGGUGCAAGCGUUAAUCGGAAUUACUGGGCGUAAAGCGUGCGCAGGCGGUUUUGUAAGACGGAUGUGAAAUCCCCGGGCUUAACCUGGGAACUGCAUUCGUGACUGCAAGGCUAGAGUAUGGCAGAGGGGGGUUAGAAUUCCACGUGUAGCAGUGAAAUGCGUAGAGAUGUGGAGGAAUACCGAUGGCGAAGGCAGCCCCCUGGGCCAAAUACUGACGCUCAUGCACGAAAGCGUGGGGAGCAAACAGGAUUAGAUACCCUGGUAGUCCACGCCCUAAACGAUGUCAACUAGUUGUUGGGGAUUCAUUUCCUUAGUAACGUAGCUAACGCGUGAAGUUGACCGCCUGGGGAGUACGGUCGCAAGAUUAAAACUUAAUGAAUUGACGGGGUCAUAGCUGUUUCCU